rnacentral:tmRNA from 1 species
GGGGGUGCCGUGCUUUUGACAGAAGUUUCUGCAUACACUCGCAUGCUGAGGAUGAUUUAGCCCUCAUAAAUCCCUAAAUCAACUUAUAAGUGCAAACUUAUUUUCAAAAGCUAAAGUUGCUUUAACUAACGCCUUCGGCGGAAGUUGCUGCAAUUUUGCUCCGUUAGCAGCUUAAUAGUUGCUUUCCAUCGCCUGUGUGAGAUUUCGUAGCACAACACGGUGUAACUCACGAGAUGUAGGUUAAAAGUGCUGUCAGACAUUUUUAUCCGAAAGAAAUUCUGGCUCGCUCAUAGAGACUUUCGUUCACUUAUCAUCUCUAUAGUUAAAUCAUAAGUGGACUAAGCAUGUAGAAGGUAUAUUCAAAAUUAUCUGGACGCGAGUUCAACUCUCGCCACCUCCACAG